GACGAACCGAGCGAACGUUAUUCGGAAUCACUGGGCUUAAAGGGCGCGUAGGCGGGUAUCCAAGUCUGUGGUGAAAUCCGGCAGCUUAACUGUCGAACUGCCGUGGAUACUGGGUACCUCGAGGGAGGUAGGGGCGUGCGGAACUAUUGGUGGAGCGGUGAAAUGCGUUGAUAUCAAUAGGAACUCCGGUGGCGAAGGCGGCACGCUGGACCUUUUCU
rnacentral:rRNA from 1 species